GACGAACGCUGGCGGCGUGCUUAACACAUGCAAGUCGAACGGAAAGGCCCUGCUUUUGUGGGGUGCUCGAGUGGCGAACGGGUGAGUAACACGUGAGUAACCUGCCCUUGACUUUGGGAUAACUUCAGGAAACUGGGGCUAAUACCGGAUAGGAGCUCCUGCUGCAUGGUGGGGGUUGGAAAGUUUCGGCGGUUGGGGAUGGACUCGCGGCUUAUCAGCUUGUUGGUGGGGUAGUGGCUUACCAAGGCUUUGACGGGUAGCCGGCCUGAGAGGGUGACCGGCCACAGUGGGACUGAGAGACGGCCCAGACUCCUACGGGAGGCAGCGGGGGGAAGUAUUGCACAGUGGGCGGAAGCCUGAUGCAGCAACGCCGCGUGCGGAAUGACGGCCUUCGGGUGGUAAACCGCUUUCGCCUGUGACGAAGCGUGAGUGACGGUAAUGGGUAAAGAAGCACCGGCUAACUACGUG
rnacentral:rRNA from 1 species